GACGAACGCUGGCGGCGUGCCUAAUACAUGCAAGUUGAGCGCUGAAGGUUGGUACUUGUACCAACUGGAUGAGCAGCGAACGGGUGAGUAACGCGUGGGGAAUCUGCCUUUGAGCGGGGGACAACAUUUGGAAACGAAUGCUAAUACCGCAUAAAAACUUUAAACACAAGUUUUAAGUUUGAAAGAUGCAAUUGCAUCACUCAAAGAUGAUCCCGCGUUGUAUUAGCUAGUUGGUGAGGUAAAGGCUCACCAAGGCGAUGAUACAUAGCCGACCUGAGAGGGUGGUCGGCCACAUUGGGACUGAGACACGGCCCAAACUCCUACGGGAGGCAGCAGUAGGGAAUCUUCGGCAAUGGACGAAAGUCUGACCGAGCAACGCCGCGUGAGUGAAGAAGGGUUUCGGAUCGUAAAACUCUGUUGGUAGAGAAGAACGUUGGUGAGAGUGGAAAGCUCAUCAAGUGACGGUAACUACACAGAAAGGGACGGCUAACUACGUG
rnacentral:rRNA from 1 species